ACCAAGGAACUUGUUUUUCAAAAAGAAUGCCUUGAGAUUCAUAAACUUCUCAUGUCCAUAAAAAAGAUAGAAAAAAUAUCUUUAAAAUAAUAUUUAUCAAAUCAAGAUCCAAGCUAGUCCGUAUGUGAAUAUUUCACAUAAGUUUGACACCCCAAACCCUAAGAUAAGAGACUAUCGAAUUAUCCAAAUCCGUAUCUCAUAUGGAGUUUUGAUGAUCGAUUUGCUCGAAAGGUUUGUGAGCACAUAUCAAAUAGUCUCUAAAUAUAAUCUCAGACAGACUAGCAAACCCACAAUGGAUCGAACCAUGUCUAACAAAGUUCAAUUUCUCCUUUUAAACACUCUUUUAAAUAGUGGUAUUCUAGGAAAGGUCCAUUGAGAGAGAAUUCAAUUCUCUUCAAGACUUGUCAAAAAUUUACUGUAAAGAUAUUCACUUCAUCGAUCAAACUGAUUAGUUCUAAUACUCUUUGCAGUUUAUUUUUCUACCUCAUUACGAAAUUAUUUGAACAUUUUAACUGAUUCAAACUUAUACUUCAUAAGCAAGACGCACCCAUGCCA
rnacentral:lncRNA from 1 species